rnacentral:rRNA from 1 species
AGAGUUUGAUCCUGGCUCAGAUUGAACGCUGGCGGAAUGCUUUACACAUGCAAGUCGAACGGCAGCACGGGAGCUUGCUCCUGGUGGCGAGUGGCGAACGGGUGAGUAAUGCAUCGGAACGUACCGAGUAAUGGGGGAUAACGCAUCGAAAGGUGUGCUAAUACCGCAUACGCCCUGAGGGGGAAAGUGGGGGAUUCGCAAGGACCUCACGUUAUUCGAGCGGCCGAUGCCUGAUUAGCUAGUUGGUGAGGUAAAGGCUCACCAAGGCGACGAUCAGUAGCUGGUCUGAGAGGAUGAUCAGCCACACUGGAACUGAGACACGGUCCAGACUCCUACGGGAGGCAGCAGUGGGGAAUUUUGGACAAUGGGCSCMASCCUGAUCCAGCCAUUCCGCGUGAGUGAAGAAGGCCUUCGGGUUGUAAAGCUCUUUCGGCAGGGAAGAAAUCGCGAGGGGUAAUAUCCCUCGCGGAUGACGGUACCUGAAGAAGAAGCACCGGCUAACUACGUGCCAGCAGCCGCGGUAAUAC